ACAAUCCAGGCCUCUUGAAAUAUAGAGACUGCAAUUGGAAUGAGAUCAAUUUAAAACGCUUAACAAGGAACAAUUGGAGGAGUCUGGUGCCAGCACCCCGCGGUAAUUCCAGCUCCAAUAGCGUAUGCUAAAAUUGCUGUAGUUGAAAAGCUCGUAGUUGGAUUUCGGAGUAAAAAGGAUGGGCUGGAGUGAUUAGCGCAAAAGGCUAAUGUACUCCACCUAUCUGUCGAGAUUUAACUUGGAAUGAGGAAUCAGUUGCUUUUUUAAGUGGCGGAUUUAACUUCCGAGGUCUCUUUACUCCUUUUUCUUGAAUGGAGAUUUUCUUAUUUGCGUCAUUUCGGCGGCGUAAAGGGAUUAAUUCAUUCAAGAAGGUAUGACUGGUUUGCUCGUACCUAUUCUUUAUUGAAUAGCUAUUAUCUCAGAGAAAGCGUGAGGAGAAAUCUUUACGUUGUAUCUGGGGUUUGGUGUUAGGGAGUUAUUUUCCUUAACAACAGAGCUCCAGUCCGUUGUACAUAUGCCUUAAUCUCAAAGAUUAAGCCAUGCAUGUCUAAGUAUAAACCGCUUGAGUCGCAAGGCUCAAAACGGGUGAAACUGCGAAUGGCCCUUUGCAAUCGUUUACUUGAUUGUGUGCUAUUAUGGAUUUGGCUGGGGGGUUCGCCUCUCAGUCAAAGCUAUUAUGGCUGUAUGGAUAACCGUGGUAAUUCAAGAGCUAAUACAUUAUUAACAAGAGGUCGACUUUUCGCAAGAGAGGAAGAUCUGCAUUUAUUAGAUACAAUUGCAAAACCGAAACUCCCGGGCAACCGGGGUUUAAAAUGGAAUGAGAUCAAUUUAAAACGCUUAACAAGGAACAAUUGGAGGGCAAGUCUGGUGCCAGCAGCCGCGGUAAUUCCAGCUCCAAUAGCGUAUGCUAAAAUUGCUGUAGUCUUGAAUAAAUCAGAGUGUUCAAAGCAGGCUUAAAUUCGGCCGUCAAACGCCGAAAAACGCCUUGUAUGCUUCAGCAUGGGUUAAUGGAACAGGACCAGGUUGGGUCACGUGCAUAUUUCCUUUUGGUUUUCAGCCGUGAACAAAUUGAAUCUAAUAAAUUCACCCAACCGGUGAUGAUUGACAGGGACUGUCGGGGACAUUGGUAUUUAAUUGUCAGAGGUGAAAUUCUUGGAUUAAUUAAAGACCAACUUCAGCGAAGGCAUUUGCCAAGGAUGUUUUCAUUUAAUCAAGAACGAAAGUUGGGUAAUCGAAGAUGAUCAGAUACCGUCGUAGUCCCAACCGUAAACGAUGCCGACCAGGGAUCGGGAAUGGAAGUAAACAAAAAGGUGAUAGCAGUCCCUACGGGGGCUGUGUGUAACUGAAUCGUCCUCCCGACCUUACAUAUUUUAUCUUUCCGGGAAACCACGAGUUUUUGGGUUCUGGGGGGAGUCUGGUCGCAAGGCUGAAACUUAAAGGAAUUGACGGAAGGGCACCACCAAAAAAAAGUGCGCCUUUUGCAAGGCCUUUCGGGGUUUUGUAAGAGACGUAUUUUUUGUUAUCGGCGACCUGGGCCGAAACAGGCUUUGGGCAAUCUUGGUAAACUCUGUCGUGCUGGGGAUCGAUCCUUGUAACUGUGGGUCGUCAACGAGGAAUUCCUCGUAGGCGCGGUUCAUCAGACCGCGUCGAAUGCGUCCCUGCCCUUUGUACACACCCAAUUUCCUACCGAUUGAAUGGUCCGGUGAAGUCUUUGGAGCUGGAUUUCGGUCUUUUUUCCUCGUGAAAGAAGAUUUUUUUAUCCCUAUGGAGUGGAGCCUGCGGCUUAAUUUGACUCAACACGGGGAAACUCACCAGGUCCAGACUUGACGAGGAUUGACAGAUUGACAGCUCUUUCUUGAUUUCAAGGGUGGUGGAACAUGGCCGUUCUUAG
rnacentral:rRNA from 1 species